rnacentral:lncRNA from 10 species
CCAGGGUCCAGUGUAGUCUUGUGUCUAAGCUGGUGUCUGGCCACCAAAGGCAGGCGUGCAGGGCCUUGGCUACUGCGCUAGGUCUGCUGAUGGCCACAAGCCUUUAGUCCCAGCUCUGCCUUAGCAAUGGGGGUGUCUGAAGGCUCAGGGGAUACACAGGUCCUCUAGGUUCCUGGGGAGAUGAUGAGUGAGAGUUUCGACCAGGAGUGGAUACUGAGGAGAGCAAAGAUCACCUGGUGCUCAUCAAGCCGGACUUCCAGAGGCAAAGCUCCUUAACUGAAGAAUUCAGAAGUAAUUAGACUUCCCUAUUAUCCAAAGCAGGCAUCUGGUACCAGCCUUCUUUCCCCAAAAUUUAUAAGUAACUACAAUUUCUAUACAGCUCCAGAAUGCAUAUACAUCAAAACUCAUUUUGCACCCCUUGAUGACAUCAAGGCACCAGAAUGCCUAAAAAUGUAAUCAUCUAUCAUGACCUACAUAGUUAAUAUGGUCCCAACUUACCCUUAAGCUCCUGCUCUAAGGUCCAUACACACCCCUAAGGAACAUCCACUGCGGUGGACUCAGUUCUCUCUUGCUGAGGCUCCCACUGAACUCCUCUGCAGCAUUAUUUCUUUCUAAUAAAACUUUCCUUUUCAUCCAGUCUAUCAUUGAUGGGCAUUUAGGUUGGUUCCAUGUCUUUGCUAUUGUGAAUAGUACUGCAAUGAACAUAUGCACGUAUGUAUGUUUAUAACUGAAUUAUUUAUAUUCCUUUGGGUAUAUACCCAGUAAUGGGAUUGCUGGGUCAAAUGGUAUUUCUGUCUUUAGGUCUUUGAGGAAUCACCACCAUGGAAUACUAUGCAGCCAUAAAAAAGAAAGAUAACAUGUCCUUCACAGGGACAUAGAUGGAGCUGGAGGCCAUUCUCCUUAGCAAACUAAACUAUGUAACAAACCUAUACUUGUACCCCAGAACUUAAAAUAAAAGUUUAAAAAAGCCCUUUCCUUUUCAAAUCUAUACUGUUGUUGGUAAAUUCUUCUUACUACCCAUGAGUAAAUCACUUUUUGUUGCCUGAGAUCUGACACCUCACCCAGCAGGCACCUACCAUUUUUACUCCCCAUUUACCUGUCUAAGCAGGAAUUGGUGACUUAACAAAUUUGGAGGAAGAUUUUAGCAGAAAGAGAAUUUGAUCAGAGCCUAGUGACUCUAACUAACAGACCUAUUAGUAGGCAGUCAAGGUUCUCCAGAGAAAUAGAAGCAGUAGGACAUGGGGCAGGGAAAAGGAGAGAGAGAGAGAGAAAGAAAAAGAGAGAGAAAGGUACCAAGGAAUUGGCUCAUGUGUUAGGGGCUGGCCAAGCAAAUCUGAAAUCUGCAGGGCAGGCUGUCAGAAAGGGCAGGCAAGAAACUCUAAGGGCCGAGAGCUGUGGUCCACAGGUAGAAUUUCUUCUUCUCCGGGAAACCUCUUUCUAGUGUGGCAGCAAAUAAUGACUAAAUGGAUUUUGUGGCUAAGGCAGCACAGAGAUAUAGAAAAAGUUCAACAGGUAUUAUUAAAAGGCAUUUAAUCUCUAGGCAACUCAGCUAGAUGAAAUGCAAUGAAAGAGUCGCUGCUUUUUUCAGGAGAGAUACAUGAGGCAUCUUUACCUAAUAAACACCAUUUGUUAUAUUGAAGCUUUAGGGCCGAAGCCAAUG